GGCGGGGAGAGCGGGGCUGCGAACCUACCCGCGGAGAGGUGCUGCCCCCUCGUCGCUGCCGGUGGCGGGAGACCGUCCCCUCAGGUUCUAGGAUGAUCUGCUCCAUGAAGCUGUUAUUUAUGGUGUCUGGAAAUUUUAUCUCUGCAUCUCUUCCUGAGGUGAUGCAUACCUAAUCACCAACAAGUGUCACCACCCUCAUUUGCUAUCCUCUUUAUUUUUCAAGCAUGGAAUUUCUGUCCACAGAGAUGCUAUAGUAGAGGGCUGCAGUCUCUACUUGAUUAUUCUGAAAAGCAACUCUAAGUUCCUCUCUUCAGUACUAACUUGUAGUGUCUCUUGUGAUCAAGUAUUCAUGGAUAGCUUGUUCCAGCAAAUGAUCCCAAUCCAAAGCAAGAAAAGAUCUUUCUAAGAAGGAAAACACAUGUUCCCCUCAAAAAUACAUUUAUUAUCUGAAAGUAUGUUUAAUUUGUAGCGAUUACUAAUCAAAAUAAACUAAAAUAACCGUUGGUACAAGUUUAAGAAAAUCAAAAAUUUGGUUUCAUU